rnacentral:rRNA from 1 species
UACAGAGGGGGCAAGCGUUGUUCGGAAUUACUGGGCGUAAAGGGCGCGUAGGCGGCCUGCUAAGUCGAACGUGAAAUCCCUGGGCUCAACCCAGGAACUGCGACCGAUACUGGUUGGCUUGAAUCCGGGAGAGGGAUGUGGAAUUCCAGGUGUAGCGGUGAAAUGCGUAGAUAUCUGGAGGAACACCGGUGGCGAAGGCGACAUCCUGGACCGGCAUUGACGCUGAGGCGCGAAAGCCAGGGGAGCAAACGGG